GUGGUUCAGAUGCAUUCUAUAUUUAAGAUUAUGAAUGAUUCUUCAGAGUAAUGCACAUAUGUUUAAGUGUUACAAUUGAAUAUAGUCUAAUGCUAGCAAUCAGAGAGAAAAAAACACGAAUAUCUUAGGGAUUAACUAUGUUCAACUGGACUAGAACUAUAAUUAUUUCCGGCCUGAUGCAACAUGGAUUCAUUGAAUCAUUGGCGGUGCGUAUCUUCAAACAACGAGCCCUCGUGCAUGAUGUCAUGUUGGAACACCAGAAUGCUGCCUGUUACAUAGUUGCCGUGGUUACAAUCCACGGCGUAACGGCUUCGUCAAACAGCGAGAUGUUGGACCAGCUGCAACCAUGAAAACAUAAAAGCGCAGAUAUUCGGCUGCAGAUUGACGACAAACUCCAUCACUCGUGAUAGUCCAUUUCUUUAAGUUAUGAGUGAAACUGUGUUAAAUAUUAUUUCUUAUUACAUUUAAAGUCACAAUAACAGCGAAAUUAUAGAAAAAUAUCAUGUAAACAUCCGGUUAUAUGUUAAAGUUCGUGUUAAAGAUAACUUUGUACAGAGAAAAUACUCUUCAAUUUUAAAAGAAUAUAUACAUUGUUUAAACACCGAACUUGUAAAGUAAUAAACUGCUUUAAACGAUUAAUUUCUGUUGUAUAUCUGAUUGAUGAUAUGUCUAAAUAAAACUUCA